rnacentral:lncRNA from 1 species
AUAAACACAUUCAGGUAUGUGAAUUGUAUCUUCUUGCUGUAGAAUCAUGCUUAUGUUGACAUCCCAUCCAAAGUCUUACCUGUCAGUUAAUAAAUAAUGACCGAAAUAUCUCACCAGUGGUAGUGCGAGCGGUCGUUUUCUCGUGUCAAAUGUUUUGGAAUCACCAACACUCGUGGAGAAUCGACGAUUAGGGCGUCAAAUCGACGAUUUCUCCGUAAAUGUCGUAAAGUGUGAAACUGAUACCUUAGAUGUAGAGUGUUACAAUUGAAGGAACUACGGAGUCAAUUGCUAAAGAUGUAUCAAGGACAGUAGAACUAAUGCCAACAACUGAAGACCUAUCUACUGGUCUAGAGCAGGAAGCACUUGAGGAAGAAGGUGUCGAUGAUGAAGCAUCUGAGGAAGAGAUUAUCAAUGAGGAAGACAGGACUGAAGGGUACCCGACCCGGCUGAGGACCCGUCCCCAAUGGAUGGACGAUUAUGAAUGUUAAAUAAGGUAUGGUUAAUUAGAAUUUAUUUUAUUAAUAUGUAUGGUAAUAAAACGAUGAAUGAUUUACUUCCGUUUUUAUUUUUCGUACAUGUAAUUCCCUUAUAGGGCACUAUGUGUAACCUUUUGAAGCAUGAAAUAAAAAACUAAAAAAUUCCUCUAAUCGCCCCAAUACCUCCGACAUCUCAUUCCGGCAUCGCCGAGUACGACUUCGCCUCGCCUUCAAUCCGCUGUCAUCGGUCUGCACCGAUCAUCUCUGGUUAUAUAGAAGAUCUGUCUCUCUGUACUUGAUCCAAAAGCUCUGUCUCGCAUUCUUGAUCCAUUUACUCCGAUUAUUGAAUCGGAGACCCAUUCCCAACAUCAGGUUAAUUCAGAUCCGUAAUAUUUAAUUCUUUUUUUUCUCAUUUGGAAUUCCCUUGGAUAAUUGACUCAAGAUUUGAAUAAUGAUCCCAACGCCAAUCAAUUUGAGAUUGAUUUAACGAUUCAGAUUUUAUAUCUGUAUCAUAGAGGGUCUUGGGUCGGGUCAAACCCGAACACGAAC